AGGAUGAACGCUGGCGGCGUGCUUAACACAUGCAAGUCGAACGAACCUUCGGGUUAGUGGCGGACGGGUGAGUAACGCGUGGGAAUCUGCCCUCAGGAGGGGGAUAACGGCUGGAAACGGCCGCUAAUACCCCAUAUGCCGAGAGGUGAAAUGAAUUUCGCCUGAGGAUGAGCCCGCGUCUGAUUAGCUAGUUGGUGAGGUAAGAGCUCACCAAGGCAUCGAUCAGUAGCUGGUCUGAGAGGAUGAUCAGCCACACUGGGACUGAGACACGGCCCAGACUCCUACGGGAGGCAGCAGUGGGGAAUUUUCCGCAAUGGGCGAAAGCCUGACGGAGCAACGCCGCGUGAGGGAUGAAGGCCUCUGGGCUGUAAACCUCUUUUCUCAAGGAAGAAGAUCUGACGGUACUUGAGGAAUAAGCCACGGCUAAUUCCGUGCCAGCAGCCGCGGUAAUACGGGAGUGGCAAGCGUUAUCCGGAAUUAUUGGGCGUAAAGCGUCCGCAGGCGGCCUUUCAAGUCUGCUGUUAAAACGUGGAGCUUAACUCCAUCAUGGCAGUGGAAACUGUUGGGCUUGAGUGUGGUAGGGGCAGAGGGAAUUCCCGGUGUAGCGGUGAAAUGCGUAGAUAUCGGGAAGAACACCAGUGGCGAAGGCGCUCUGCUGGGCCAUAACUGACGCUCAUGGACGAAAGCCAGGGGAGCGAAAGGGAUUAGAUACCCCUGUAGCCCUGGCCGUAAACGAUGAACACUAGGUGUCGGGGGAAUCGACCCCCUCGGUGUCGUAGCCAACGCGUUAAGUGUUCCGCCUGGGGAGUACGCACGCAAGUGUGAAACUCAAAGGAAUUGACGGGGGCCCGCACAAGCGGUGGAGUAUGUGGUUUAAUUCGAUGCAACGCGAAGAACCUUACCAGGGUUUGACAUCCUGCGAAUCUCUUGGAAACGAGAGAGUGCCUUCGGGAACGCAGUGACAGGUGGUGCAUGGCUGUCGUCAGCUCGUGUCGUGAGAUGUUGGGUUAAGUCCCGCAACGAGCGCAACCCACGUCUUUAGUUGCCAGCAUUUAGUUGGGCACUCUAGAGAGACCGCCGGUGAUAAACCGGAGGAAGGUGUGGAUGACGUCAAGUCAUCAUGCCCCUUACAUCCUGGGCUACACACGUACUACAAUGCUACGGACAAAGAGCAGCAAGUUCGCGAAGACAAGCAAAUCUCAUAAACCGUGGCUCAGUUCAGAUCGUAGGCUGCAACUCGCCUACGUGAAGGAGGAAUCGCUAGUAAUCGCAGGUCAGCAUACUGCGGUGAAUACGUUCCCGGGCCUUGUACACACCGCCCGUCACACCAUGGAAGUUGGCCACGCCCGAAGCCGUUACUCCAACCCUUGUGGAGGAGGACGUCGAAGGUGGGGCUGAUGACUGGGGUGAAGUCGUAACAAGGUAGCCGU
rnacentral:rRNA from 1 species